UCUGCUUUUUGAAAGACAUUAUGAUGUUCAUAUUUUUCUCGAGCUGCUUUUCUUGCCGGAAACUAAUUAUUUUAUCACAUUCCAUAUGGCCGAUGAAUUUUGUUUGCUCUUAUUAGACUUUUUAAGAUAAUAUAUUUUCUUUUUUUUUAGCAGCACCAGUAAGAGACUUUAUUUCUUUCUUUUCAUUCGUGUAUUGUUUUUGCAGACAAAUAUUGUGUCUGGCUCUCCUCAGCUUGGUGCGGGUGUCGUCACGCUGCCUCACUGCUACACGCAAACCCUCAGUGAGCCAAGGCGCUGCAGGUCUGCUUGCUGCCUUAGUUACUAAAGGAGCACACGCAUCCAGACAACUCAUCAUCAACCCGACCUGAGCCGACUGUGGGAGUGACAAAUGGUUCCCUGGACGCCGUGUGUCACCGGAUUGCAGGCGAGCGUCAGGCGGACCAUGAGUCGGGACGCUGGCAAGUCCGUUGACCAGAACCUGACCAGGAAAAUUCAAGAAGCGUGGCCUUGACCUUGCUCAGCAGUUGUGCCCUCACCUGACCUACGUUAUGUUGCUCUUCUAUAUUAUUCCCAUGGUAUGAAUGCAAGUGUGGCUACCAAGCGAUUUUGAUUCCAGGAUUGUUUCCCUCCUCAGAGCCCACGAUAUCAGACUUGGGAAGCGGAAUUUUACUUUUAUAUUUUUUUAAAGCUUUCAAUCUCACCUCUACAUAUACUUUCACAACCUUACAGUAUGUGCAAUAAAUCAGUACGUCUUUACAUUAUAAAUACCUAUAAAUAAACGAGAACUGUACGUUUAGGUAAAAGGUUGGAUGUACAUCUGGCAACACCUUACGUCUCAAGGCCAUGGCUGCUACGUACACCCGCAAUUAUCAAAGAAUAUAACAUACUAUGAAU